GCCUGAGGCCGGGGAGCUGAAGAGGAAGCUUGGCCCAGCCCCACCCGCUAAGCCUGCUGGGAGGGGGUGAGCAGGAGGGCGUGGCCAGGCUCGGACAAGCCCGUCCCCAGCUCAGUCCAGCAGGAGGCGCCCCCUCCCAGGCCAGGGGGCUCACCCCAAAGCCCUGGUUCCACAGAGGGGGGCCCGGAAGUGCCCACCCAGUGUGGGAGGUCACUGCCCGGAAAACUACUUUGGAAGCUGAGUGGAAGGAUGAAUUAGAGUGAAGAGUCCUGAUGGUAGAAAACAAAUCAGAAGCUAUUGCAAUAGCCCACGUGAUGAGGGACUGUACACAAGAGUGCUGGAAUGAAGAGGAUGGAGAUGAGAUAUAUGAUUCCCUUCUCAAUUUAAAAAACAAGAAACAAAACUCUUGUUCACCAAGAAAUAGCAAGGCAUAGUGGAUGUCAUGAUCACUGUGGAGCCAAAAAGUUCUGUUCAAGUCCUACCUCUGACAUACGUAUAACCCUGAGCAAGUCACUUGUUUGCCCUCCUCUUUGCAUCCUCCAGCUUCUCAAAGUCCUUCAUUUCUGAUUUUGUCAUUUGAGUCAUCCCCAGGUCCCUUUCUAUUAAUUAAAGUGCCUCUAUUGAUGUUUA